rnacentral:rRNA from 1 species
UACGUAGGGUCCGAGCGUUGUCCGGAAUUAUUGGGCGUAAAGGGCUCGUAGGCGGUUUGUCGCGUCGGGAGUGAAAACACGGGGCUUAACCCCGUGCCUGCUUCCGAUACGGGGCAGACUAGAGGUAUGCAGGGGGAGAACGGAAUUCCUGGUGUAGCGGUGAAAUGCGCAGAUAUCAGGAGGAACACCGGUGGCGAAGGCGGUUCUCUGGGCCGUAACUGACGCUGGAGGAGCGAAAGCGUGGGGGAGCGAACAGG